AUCUAUAUGAAUGGAUCAUAAAUGACAACCAGUAUGUUGUGGUAAGAAAAAAUUAUUGGACAGGAAAUCAGGAUUCCACUAGUUUAGUCCUGUGUCUGCUGUUAACAAGUUGUAUGCUGAUUUAACCUCACUGUUCCUUGGACACUUCAUCUGACAACUGAAAAGGUUAGACUAGCUCACCAUGGUGAUCCCUGUCAGCCCAAGCAUCCCAUGAUUUUAGUUUUAAUUUAUAAGUGAUACUUGUAAAAUUUAAGUUUUACUUGCAGAUUUUGUGGCAUGCAGGAGACAGGCUGCCAUCACUUUUUAGAAGUACAGACUUUUAAUUCCUUAUUGUGGU
rnacentral:lncRNA from 10 species